rnacentral:rRNA from 1 species
AUUAAACGCUGGCGGCAUGCCUUACACAUGCAAGUCGAACGGCAGCACGGGGGCAACCCUGGUGGCGAGUGGCGGACGGGUGAGUAAUACAUCGGAACGUGCCCUGGAGUGGGGGAUAACGUAGCGAAAGUUACGCUAAUACCGCAUAUUCUGUGAGCAGGAAAGCAGGGGAUCGCAAGACCUUGCGCUCUGGGAGCGGCCGAUGUCGGAUUAGCUAGUUGGUGGGGUAAAGGCCUACCAAGGCGACGAUCCGUAGCGGGUCUGAGAGGAUGAUCCGCCACACUGGGACUGAGACACGGCCCAGACUCCUACGGGAGGCAGCAGUGGGGAAUUUUGGACAAUGGGGGNAACCCUGAUCCAGCCAUGCCGCGUGAGUG